GCCCUCUGCUGCGGGCCCUGCUCCUGCACUGCACUAUGUAGUUGGAGCAUGCGCACUGACCGCCUCGAUUCGGAGAAACGGGUAAACAUAUUUUCCACCGCAUAUACCGAGGGCUGGCCAAGAGCUCGAAAAGUCGGCGCAAACGGAGGCGGCGGCGUAACAUUGAGCUGCAAGAGGCGACUCCAAGGAAAAUGGGAGCGUUCGCGGGGGUCCAGAGGCCUUGAGAGCUCGAUCCGGGCCCCAGUUGUUGGCCGAUUGGCAUGCGGUGACGUCAAGAUUCGGAUCGUUCUGGAAGAGAACGCCGCAGGACAAAGAUGGCGGAUCUAUACGCCAAGUACAACUGUACCUACUGCCAAGAGGAUAUCUCGGGUCUACGAGUCAAGUGUGUCGAGUGCCCGGAGUUCGACCUCUGCCUGCAGUGUUUUUCUGCUGGAGCAGAAAUAGGACAACACAAAAACGAUCACUCCUACCAGUUUAUGGACUCUGGUACGAUCAGUAUCUUCAACGGACGUGGCAAUUGGACUGCCAGAGAACAUCUCAGGCUACUGGAUGCCUUCGAACAAUAUGGUUACGGAAAUUGGGAAGACAUCAGUAAACACAUUGAAACUCGAACACCAGAGGAGGCAAAAGAUGAAUACAUUGCCAGGUAUCUGGAUGGAAACAUUGGAAAAUUCACUUGGCCUUCUAUUGAAACUUAUAGUCCAAACCUCACAGACCAUACAACCCUAGACCAUGGUCCUUUAUCACCAGACUUGACAUCACGUUUACCACCUUUAGACAUAACACCAGACGAAGCUACUCAACUUGGUUAUAUGCCACAAAGAGAUGAUUUUGAACGUGAUUACAAUCACGAAGCAGAAUCUCUUGUGUCGUCUUUGUUUUUAAAUCCAGCAGAAGAUGAUGAUCUUGACAUUGCACUCAAACUUGCACAAGUUGACAUGUACACAAAUAAUCUUAGGGAAAGAGCAAGAAGAAAACGGGUUGUUCGAGAUUAUCAACUUGUGUCUGCAUUUUUUUCUGCUUCUCGGAAAGAAAAGGGUGUGAAAAAGAAGCAAACCAAAGAGGAAAAAGACUUUCGGGAGCGCAUGAGGGUAUUUGCGCAAUUUUACACUGGACAAGAGUAUGAACAGUUACUAACCAGUCUUGAAAGGGAACGAGAGCUUCGGCUACGUCUUUCAGAACUUUAUCGUUAUCGAGAAAACGGUAUAACAAAGCACGAGGAGUGUACUCACUUUGAGCAAGUAUUGGCCCAGGCUCAAGGACAAGCAGAUGCAGCGGAUCAUUGGUCAGAUAAAAAAUCUGCGUUUGUGAACAGAUUGUAUCAGUUUGCGUUUCACUUAGGGCAGCAGUGGGUCAUCCAAAGCAAUGCACCGCCAAGUCUCAAGAAGAAGAGACGAAGAAAAAAAUUACUCUUUCAUCGACCGAAAGUCCACUGCAAAAACAGACUCAGCCAGCAGCAGUUCCUCAACCACCAGUCGGACGAUGACUCCAACCAGUCAUUGGGGGGAGCAGGAUAGCAACUCAAAUCAGCAGUCAACCAAUUCAAACUCAAUCUUCGAGAGGGGCAACAAUUCUUUCACAUCGGGAAAGCCAGUAGGGAACCAAGGGGAAAGCGAUACCAGAGAUAUAGAAGUCGAAGCCGCUUCGCACUUAUUAACCAAACAGGAAAAAUCAUUAUGUCUUCAGCUAGAUCUAAAGCCAACCCAGUACCUUACACAAAAAGCACUUCUACUACAGGAAUAUUUGAACGGCAAUAAGAAAUCCAGUAUAGUUCCUCAGUCAGAACCGGAAAGUAAAAUUCUAAACUAUUUGGUCUCCAACGGUUGGAUUGCCGCAAAUUAACUCACUUUCGAAAUUUAAAGGUCUCUCUUUCUAAGUCAACUCAUACUUUAAGCUAAGUCAUACUUCAAACUAUGUUAAGAGGAUAUCCGCCAUAUAUUACAGGUUUUAAAAUUGGUGAACAUUUUUAUUAAAUCUCACAUUACGCAACGUAAACUUUUAAUCUGCUUUUUUGUAAAUAUUUGAUUCCAUUACUAGUAUAGUUAAAAGAAAGGAUACUUUUCUAUGAAAAAUUUUAUCCUAUUGUUGAUAAGUGCGUCUACCGACAAAGCAUUCUACUGGAAAGUACUUUUGAAAAGUUUUAUGAAAAUUAAAAAAAAACGUGUCAACGUAUUCUUGUAGUAGCCACGUUUUUCGUUUUAUAAACGUGAAAAGUAAAGUAACUUGUACAUGUAAAUGGAAGCUUGGUUAUACAGCUACUUUGAUAGUAGCUUGUAUUUUCUUUUUAAAAUUAAUCAAAGCAUAAAUUUCAGUCAAUCAAUCAUUGUUAAACUAUUUAUUAAACCUUUGAAUAGAGUACGUUGCUUGGACGUGUAUGUAUAAACGUAGGAUUUACAAAUUCUUCUUAAUUAGUUGAAUUAAUUUUAUCAGCAUUAUAACUUGAAGAAAGACGUUUUCUUCACGUAUGAAGUAGUUGUAAAUAAUUUAUUAAAAUCACAAGAAAUACAUGUUUGCUCUUACUGUGCGUAACAGUAAUAAGACUAGCCAAGAUACUCCAUUUCUCGUGAUUUUCUCUUGUAGUAUAUAAACAUAAAAUAAUUUAAUAAUUAAUGAAAAUGAGGGGAAUACGGUAUAAUGUCGAUGUAUAUGAGAAAUGCCUUCAAGAUGGCUAAAGUUAUACUGCUGGUUGGUCACGUUGUUGCCUCGUCUCGAAACAUUUAUCGAUUAUGUAGAGUCACCUUGUAUAUAUAUGUGAAAAAGUAAUUCUGUAAAUGAGGUAAACGAUAGUAUUCAUUGAAGAAUGAUGCGAUGUGUGAUAAAGCGAACAUGUAUACAUUCUUUCACUACUAUUUAAUUGCUGAUAAGCAGUUUGCUUAUUUUCUUUAAGUUUCAUUAAGACUUGAUUUAAUUGAAAAUUAAAAUUAUACCGUCACGAGUAAUCGAUCUGUUCGAAAUUUCAAGUUUUCUACUUUUUAUAAAUGUGGCUCCGAAAUAGCUUAUGUACAGUAAGUGAUUAAUUUAAGUAAGUACGCCUAUCGAAAGGGUUUUCGCAUUCAUCGAAAUUUUUUUCUUGUAUUCUGUACAUAAUUCGAAACCUACACACGAAGAGGUUUACUGAUGUAUGUAACUAUGAAUAUACAACUUUUUUUGUUAAAACGAA